rnacentral:rRNA from 1 species
GUGAACGCUGGCGGCGUGCUUAACACAUGCAAGUCGAACGGUAACAGGAAGUAGCUUGCUACUUUGCUGACGAGUGGCGCACGGGUGAGUAAACUAUAGUUAAUGUGCCUCGAAGACUGGGAUAGCCACUGGAAACGGUGAUUAAUACUAGAUACACCUCUUUAGCUCAAGCUGGGGAGGGAAACGUUUUUUCGCUUCGAGAUCAGACUAUAUCCUAUCAGUUAGUUGGUGAGGUAAUGGCUCACCAAGGCAAUGACGGGUAGCGGUUCUGAGAGGAUGAUCCGCCACACUGGUACUGAGACACGGACCAGACUCCUACGGGAGGCAGCAGUGAGGAAUAUUGCACAAUGGGGGGAACCCUGAUGCAGCAACGCCGCGUGGAGGAUGACGCAUUUCGGUGUGUAAACUCCUUUUGUGUGGGAUGAAUGCCGCAAGUUAUGACAGUACCAUACGAAUAAGAGGUUGCUAACUCUGU